CAAGAGGUUGGGACAGUGAGUGAUGAGCUGUUGAGUUGGGAAUCCUGAUUUAGCAGUGAGCUUUAUGCCUUACUAAUACCUGCUUGCUGCAGGCAGCCUCUGGUUUCUGUGCCCACUGUCUUGACCAGAAUGGGAGUGUCAGAGGGGUUCUGGCACCAUGAAUACUGCCUGUCACCUGGAGCUAUCUGGGAGGACUUGAAGGAGUCUGCAGACAUACAGUACCCACAGCCUCAGCACCUCCUGCUCUGCAUCCCUGGUGCCCCAUUAUUGAUCUUUGUCUGAUGCAUCUUUGAAAGGUACUUGACUCCAAAGUAUAACCUCAGAGUCUGUGCUACAGAACAAGAGAGCCAUGCAGCUCACAAGAAAGACCAAGCACCCAAGCACCUGAGCAGGAAAUGUUGGGAAUAUGCCCCUCUCCAGAGUUUACACACUUGACCCCAGCUUCAGGCAGAUCGCCCAACACUGAGAGCCCAGAAUCCAGCCCAGAGAGCCCCAGCAGGUCUGUUUCUGAUGCUAUACUUAGAGAGCAAAAAUAGUGCAGCACAUUAUUGGCAUCAACACCAGCAAUCUUUCUCCCACCUAAAAGGACAGUUCAAGACUCUGCUCAGGCUGAUGGCAAGCAAAUUCUACUCCUCACACUCUAAAUAAGGAUCAUCUUUUGAACUGUGCAGUUUCACAAGCAAGUUUUGUAGCAUUAGAAAACUAGGUUGUGAGGAGCACAACUUCAUAGACAGCUCUGUGAGUCCCCAGAUUAAAAUCCAGAUGCACCCAAGUUCACACAGGCAACAUCACACACAACACCUGGUCCCUAGUUUCAAAGCCUCCUGGAAGUCAGAUUCACUAAAAUGAAAUCUACUCUAAGUUCCCACCCAUUUUGGAGCUGAUCCAGGAAAUGUUAUGCACAGGAGAAAAGUGCUGUGGCCAAAAUAACCAAUACAACCUGUACUUGCCAUGUGUUCUUGACACCCUUCAGGAACAAAACUGCUGCUGCCAGCAAAACAAUUCACUCUGCCACAGCCUCCUCAUAAAGGGUCCUCUAUAAAGGCAAGAGCAGGUGGCAGAAGCAGGUUACAGGCUCCAGGCACAUGCCUCAACCAGGUAGUCUUUAAAAUGCUUCAGAAGAGGGACAAGAUGCUCUCAGGCCUUUUCCAUCAAUUCCCUGUUUGAAGUACGGCUUCUGCUCUGGUCCCUCCUGAUCCUGCAGUGUUUAUGCACCUCCUGAACUAAUUUUAGAUUUAUGUCAGCUGUAGUGCACUUUUACAGAUUAAAAAACAGACAUUUAGAAACAGAUCAAUUUGUCUUUAUUCACUCAGAACUCCUCAUAUCUUGCAUUUUCUGCAGUAUAAAAGAAAUAAAAAUGUUUACUUACAAAUCAAGUUAUAACACGCAAAACCACAAGUGGAUAGCUACAAUAUAAAAAUAUGCAGUACUUCCAGAUACUGCCUACAAUUGAACAAAUGUUAGGAUAUUAAAUAUUCUCCCCCUAAAAUUCCAAGUAACAAAUAGCUACCUCCAUAAGGUUUAGGUCACUCAACCAAGCAUUAUCCCACAAGUUAGACCAGUCCUCUGUAGAAAUAUGUGAGCCUGCUGAUACACAGAUCACAGCCCACCAGUUCUGGAACAAGUGCUGAAAAAGACCUUCUUGGCUACAUCCCUUGUAAAGGUGAUGACACUACACAAGGAAGUAAUUUUCCUGCACAAGAGACUGAACUCAACAGCAGAAGACAACAACAUAAUGCUUCCCCAGUUGAGUACUGAUAUCUAAGAGGAAGAAAAAGAUGUUCUACUGUUUUUAGGCUUUUAAUUUGGAAUAAAGGCAUUUUAAUGUGUUUAAAAA